rnacentral:rRNA from 1 species
UACGGAGGGUGCAAACGUUGCUCGGAAUCAUUGGGCGUAAAGCGCACGUAGGCGGCCUGUUAAGUCGGAUGUGAAAGCCCCGGGCUCAACCCGGGAAGUGCAUACGAAACUGGCAGGCUUGAAUAUGGAAGAGGGUCGCGGAAUUCCCGGUGUAGAGGUGAAAUUCGUAGAUAUCGGGAGGAACACCAGUGGCGAAGGCGGCGACCUGGGCCGGUACUGACGCUGAGGCGCGAAAGCGUGGGGAGCAAACAGG